rnacentral:lncRNA from 1 species
GUAUCUCUUUCAAGAGAAAGUUAUUUAGAUGAAACUUGUGUUUUAAAGCUGUUUGAAUGCGAAAAGGGUUUAUGCCUUUGAAUUUGACUUGGGGGUUUCAAUUAAAGAAGUUUCAAUGACUUUGAAAGAACCUGAAUGUCUAUUGACAAGUUUUAUUUUGAAAUGUUUUGAGAAAGGUUUUAAGUACUCUUUGAACUCUGAACUUUUGCAAGACUAAAACAAUUUUGAACAGUUGAAACACUUUAGAAUUUAUCAUGGGGGUUGAAGCUGGUUUUGCCUAAGUAAAGGAAACGGCUUUGAAAGAAGUAAAUGAUUACGUGACUCGGUUUGGCUUAGAUCCUAUUUUAUUACUUAAAUCGGAAAGCCAAUAUUUUAAUGAUUUUAAAUGAAUUUGGCGAAAUGAGUUAUGUUAUUCUCCCCUAAAGACUUGGGACUCUGCCGAGAAACCNNNNNNNNNNNNNNNNNNNNNNNNNNNNNNNNNNNNNNNNNNNNNNNNNNNNNNNNNNNNNNNNNNNNNNNNNNNNNNNNNNNNNNNNNNNNNNNNNNNAUGGAUGUACUCUUUAUGAGUUUUUGUAAGUUGUAUGGUAUUUAUGAAUGUACGUUAUCGAACGAAAGUAUCUUUGGGAGCAGUAUUGCGGUUUAAAGUUUUAAACAGACUCAUAUUUUAGUAUUAAAUAGUAUAAGUGUUGUCGUAAUGUCCGAGCUAUCAGAGUUACGCAGCCGGAAGCGUGAGCUUUGGUAGUUAGGGUGUUACAUUAUGGUAUCAGAGCAGUUCUUCCUGUAGAGCCUGAGGAAUGGACUGACUAUGCUUCAGUUGCAUACUUUGAGCGUUUGUCAUGUAUUAGGUCUUGUUGAAUGACGAGAAUUAGAGCUUUAUGCACAUGACGGUCUAUUGAUUAACGCUGUUAGUCUUGCAUUGCAUAAUUCCUGAUAUUAAGUUUGGCCGGCUUAAUACUAGUGAAUUAUGUAUAUGGAAGCACUGAUGGGUUAUCAUAGAUGAAAUACGAGUUUUGAGUAAAGUGAAUCGUGGGUUGGGGGAACGUUAGAAACUUUUUCUCGAGGCUAUUCAGUUGUGUGUCUUGAAUUCUGUUCGAGUCUACCUGUUCUUUCAUAUCCUAACUUGAAGUUCUUGUUUGGUACUCCUCUUGAAAAGUAAUUUGAUGUUUCCACUCUAUUUCUCUAUUCAUAUGCAUUCUUGUUUGACCUCAGUUGCAUAUGCUUGUUUGGAAUCCUUGAUGCAUCUGUGGUGGAUGUUGGUGCUGGUUAGCGCCGUCACUGCAGCUGGCUGUUCGAGCUGCUCCGCCGUCUCUGCCGCCGGAGAAUGUAGCUCAGUCGCCGGAGAACUCUGUCGGUAAGGAUUUUAAUUUGUUGUUUCGGUCAUUUUGGAUCUUGAUAAGGUUUUGAUGUUGCGUGGUUUCUAUAGUUGAUCCACCAGAGCUUCUGGCCGCCGCCGGAGCUGUUGCCAGGGCCGGUUCAAAAUUGCAGCUGCUUCGUGUUGAAAUUCCGGUAAGAAAUUAUGUUUCAAAAGCCCUACAUUAGUGUCCCGUACGUGUAUUAAAGCCUUUACGGUAUUAAUGUUCCUAGAGUUAGUAACUGAGGUUGCUUGUUGUAAUUUAGAGCUGUCUAUGCUGCUGCGAAAAUGUGUGGGGCUGCGCUUUGAAGCUGCCUUUGAUUUUGAGUUGAGGUGAAAAGAACUUAGGAGGCGCUUGGAUUAUGGAAUUGCGUUUUGAGGUAGGGGCGCUUUCCGAAAACUACAGUUUAUUAUUGGAAUUAUUACAUAUGGAUACUGAUGUGAGAUAUGGUGUAAUUAGUGAUUGUAUUUGCCUUAUGUAUUAUUUGAUUGACUCGAACGAUUAUGGAUGUUGGCUUGGCUGAAUUGUUGUGUGGCUUGUGAAAUGUAAUGUUUGAAGUUGGUUCUUUAAAUAUUUGAAAUGAGUUUAAUCAGUUGAGGAUUGGUUUGAAUUGAGUCAAUUAUUUGAUGAUGUGAAAGAUAGAAUGCUCUUGAAAUCCAGCCUGGGUUGCUUUAAUUGCUCUAGUUUUGAUAAAUGAUUUAUUGCGGAACCGAUUCUUUAAAGCUUUAUAAAUGAGUUAAAUUGGUUGAUAUUGAGUUGAUUUUUGAAAUGGUUUCCUUGAGGUAUGCCAUUGAGGCGACUGUUGGAUUUAGCUUGCUUUUAAAUUGAUUUCUGGUUUUGAGCUGUUGAAAAGGAAUGAGAAACGGUUUAGUUGGGACCCGAACCGGGUGGCAAAAGUCCAAGUUUUAGGGGAGGUGCUGCCGAAAUUUCUAUAAAGUCUGAGUCUUUAUUGAAAUGUUGUCUGGAAAAUGAUGAGUUAAAGACUUCUGCUAUUUUAUUUGAAUUAUCAAGAAAAGGAUGAUUCAUGCUUUCAAAAUGAGUUAGUAAAGAGGAAAUUGUGAUUUAGUCUUACUUCUUAAGAAAGGCAUUGUAUCUCUUUCAAGAGAAAGUUAUUUAGAUGAAACUUGUGUUUUAAAGCUGUUUGAAUGCGAAAAGGGUUUAUGCCUUUGAAUUUGACUUGGGGGUUUCAAUUAAAGAAGUUUCAAUGACUUUGAAAGAACCUGAAUGUCUAUUGACAAGUUUUAUUUUGAAAUGUUUUGAGAAAGGUUUUAAGUACUCUUUGAACUCUGAACUUUUGCAAGACUAAAACAAUUUUGAACAGUUGAAACGCUUUAGAAUUUAUCAUGGGG